UUUUUUUUCUCAGCUAGAUUCUUUUCUCUGGUGUAUUAAUAGUAUUAUACAUGUUUGCUACUUUGCUUCAUGCAGGAUUAACAGACUCUGCGAGUUGUCUUUCUUUAAUAAGGUUAGAGUAUCUGGUAUCCCAGAUUAUCUCCAAUUUCUUGGAUGUGAUUGCAGAUAUCUUGGAGAUGACAUAGUUCAUAAGAGUUCUGCAGCAGGAAUUAAAUGCCGUUGAGAAGGACAAGGAUGCGUUCAUUGAGGACUUUUCUAAGGAGGACUACAAUGACAUGGUGGAUGGAAGGCAAAAGCUG